UAAAUUCAGUUUGCUCUAAUCAGCUAAACGUAUCAAAUCUUUCGUUUAAAUUUCUUCAAAAUUAUCAGUCUGAAUUAGACACUGUUCGGGACCAUUUUUAUAUAAAUAUUUCAAUUCCAAGAUGUUUAUGUGGUGUGAGCGCAUCUCAGCAACUUUGGCCGGAGUUGUGGUGGGCCUUUGGUACGGCCACACCUUCCCGUCUGAGGAUGACAAAAAGCCAAAGGACAACAAGAAGAAAUAAUACAAUUUCGCUAGUCAGGCUGAUGUCACGAUAGUUCCAAAAAAUGAAUACCAUUCACUUAGUUAUAUCGCAAUGGGUAUAUAUUUUAUACCCGGAACCAAUUACAAUUGGUUAAAAGCCGGGCAAGAUACGUCAAUCGAUGGAGAUAUACUAUCCGAAAUUAAGUGAAAAAUUCAGUCCCACUCUGACAGUCAAAACAUAAACAUUAUCAAGAAUAUUACUAAAUAUGAAAGAGAUGCGCCGAUCCUGUAGACCACAACCAUCGCUGAUUUCGCGACUGAAUUGCAAACCAUGUAAUCGGGUUCUGUUCUUCAUCGCCGGCGUUGGAAGUGGUGUAUACUACAUCCGGCAUAAGGAGCAGAUAGCCGAGGAGCUCAGGAAUGUCGAAGAGGGCAGCAAGAAGAAGGAUAAGGGCAACUACUUUACACCAAAUGAAUUGAAUGACGAUCUAAUACAGCUGAAGAUAGUGCAAGUCGUAACAAGGAUGAUGUAACGUCUGCCUAACUCUAGCCCUAUUGUACGACCUUCAAGGCGCCAUAUAGCAUAGCACUUGGAAUGAAAUCCCCAGACAUAAACAAUCGCGGACCCGACCAGGAAUGGACACCGGGCAAAUAACAGGACAUGAAUAUUACAAAUUAUAUAGUAAAUAAUAUUGGGCUUUUGAUUCGAAAAAAUAUUCAAUUUCAUGUGUAAAACACCAAGCCUAAAAUUCAUUUAUAUUAAUAUAAUGUGUACAAUUAUACCAAACCCAUUGAAAUAAAAGAAUCUUUAAAUAAUA